AUCCAGUUCCGUAUUUCUUCAAACUACACUUCCUGCUGUUGCGGGUGGAAGUGUUUCGCAUCGCUGUAUAUGAAACUGUAAUAUAAUUAUAUUUCAAAAUGAAUACAGUGUUAUCGAGGGCAAAUUCCCUCUUUGCCUUCUCGCUCAGCGUGAUGGCAGCUUUGACGUUUGGCUGUUUUAUCACGACAGCGUUCAAAGACAGGAGGGUGCCGGUGGAUAUCCACGUCUCGAGAGUAAUGCUGAAAAACCGUGGUGAUGAGUCAAUGUCCUAACUGGACCCAUUUGAAAGAAGUGACCUGGGGUUCAUGACCUACACCUUGACCUCUCUGCACAUAAAGCCCAUGUUUGACUGGAACGUCAAGCAGCUCUUCCUCUACUGACACUCCAAUACAACGUACUUACAACGGGCCCUGAACCAGGUGGUUCUGUGGGAUAAGAUCUUGCUGAGAGGAGAGAGCACCAAGCUCAACCUCAGAGACAUGAAGUCCAAGUACUUCUUCUUCGAUGACGGAAACGGGCUUCGGGCGAACAAAAACAUCACCCUGACUCUGUCCUGGAACGUGGUGCCCAACGCUGGGAUCCUGCCCCUGGUCAUGGGCUCUGGCCACAUGUCUGUCCCCUUCCCCGAAUCAUACGAGACCACCAAGAGCUACUAAACUGUUCUAUCGUUUGUGUUUGUUGUGUCAUCUUUUAUGACUUUUAAUAAAAGUGGACAUUUGGGAACGGUUCAAUUGUUGCCUUUUUUGCAUUGAUGCUGCCGCAGGAAAAAAAUACUGUCUCAAUGUUGCUAGCAGUGAAAUCCUUGUCUUUUUUCCCCGAAAUUCCUCUCAAAGCUCAUUAGAGGAGAGACCUUGGAUCCUCUACUUAAUGCACUGUGAGAGAGGUGAGGAAAUAACGAGGAGUAAACAAGGAUAUGCCUGCUGGUAAUCCUUGGUUUAAAUGGUCAUUGCUGAGAUGGACUUAGUAACUAGAAAGUCAGGACUCCUCAUGCUUCAUGUAACUGUACAGUAGUACUCAGUACCUGUGUAAUGAAGGGCAAUGUGAAGUCGCUGAAUAAUUACAUUUUUGUUUGUUCACUGCUUUCUUUUUUAAUAAAAAAUAUCUGAAAGAUAA